GACGAACGCUGGCGGCGUGCUUAACACAUGCAAGUCGAACGGAAAGGCCCUGCUUUUGUGGGGUGCUCGAGUGGCGAACGGGUGAGUAACACGUGAGUAACCUGCCCUUGACUUGGGGAUAACUUCAGGAAACUGGGGCUAAUAACGGAUAGGAGCUCCUGCUGCAUGGUGGGGGUUGGAAAGUUUCGGCGGUUGGGGAUGGACUCGCGGCUUAUCAGCUUGUUGGUGGGGUAGGGGCUUACCAAGGCUUUGACGGGUAGCCGGCCUGAGAGGGUGACCGGCCACAUUGGGACUGAGAUACGGCCCAGACUCCUACGGGAGGCAGCAGUGGGGAAUAUUGCACAAUGGGCGGAAGCCUGAUGCAGCAACGCCGCGUGCGGGAUGACGGCCUUCGGGUUGUAAACCGCUUUCGCCUGUGACGAAGCGUGAGUGACGGUAAUGGGUAAAGAAGCACCGGCUAACUACGUG
rnacentral:rRNA from 1 species